UACGGAGGGUGCAAGCGUUAUCCGGAUUCACUGGGUUUAAAGGGUGCGUAGGUGGGCAUGUAAGUCAGUGGUGAAAUCUCCGGGCUUAACCCGGAAACUGCCAUUGAUACUAUAGGUCUUGAAUUAUCUGGAGGUAAGCGGAAUAUGUCAUGUAGCGGUGAAAUGCUUAGAUAUGACAUAGAACACCAAUUGCGAAGGCAGCUUACUACGGAUUGAUUGACACUGAGGCACGAAAGCGUGGGGAUCAAACAGG
rnacentral:rRNA from 1 species